CCUCUCGUAGCUUAGUGGUCAGAGCGUAGGUGAGUAAAGCCAAAGGUCCCGGGUUCGAUUCCCAGCGAGAGUG
rnacentral:tRNA from 1 species